GGGUCUUGUACACACCGUAACGCGAAGAACCUUACCAAGGCUUGACAUACACCGGAAGCCACCUGAAGGGGUGGUCUCUUUGAUACUGGUGUACAGGUGGUGCAUGGUUGUCGUCAGCUCGUGUCGUGAGAUGUUGGGUUAAGUCCCGCAACGAGCGCAACCCUUGUCCUAUGUUGCCAGCACGUUAUGGUGGGGACUCACGAGAGACUGCCGGGGUUAACUCGGAGGAAGGUGGGGAUGACGUCAAAUCAUCAUGCCCCUUAUGUCUUGGGCUUCACGCAUGCUACAAUGGCCGGUACAGAGGGUGGCGAGGUCGUAAGGCUGAGCGAAUCCCUUAAAGCUGGUCUCAGUUCGGAUUGGGGUCUGCAACUCGACCCCAUGAAGUCGGAGUCGCUAGUAAUCGCAGAUCAGCAACGCUGCGGUGAAUACGUUCCCGGGUCUUGUACACACCG
rnacentral:rRNA from 1 species